GAUGAACGCUGGCGGCGUGCCUAAUACAUGCAAGUCGAGCGAACGGACGAGAAGCUUGCUUCUCUGAUGUUAGCGGCGGACGGGUGAGUAACACGUGGAUAACCUACCUAUAAGACUGGGAUAACUUCGGGAAACCGGAGCUAAUACCGGAUAAUAUUUUGAACCGCAUGGUUCAAAAGUGAAAGACGGUCUUGCUGUCACUUAUAGAUGGAUCCGCGCUGCAUUAGCUAGUUGGUAAGGUAACGGCUUACCAAGGCAACGAUGCAUAGCCGACCUGAGAGGGUGAUCGGCCACACUGGAACUGAGACACGGUCCAGACUCCUACGGGAGGCAGCAGUAGGGAAUCUUCCGCAAUGGGCGAAAGACUGACGGAGCAACGCCGCGUGAGUGAUGAAGGUCUUCGGAUCGUAAAACUUUGUUAUUAGGGAAGAACAUAUGUGUAAGUAACUGUGCACAUCUUGACGGUACCUAAUCAGAAAGCCACGGCUAACUACGUG
rnacentral:rRNA from 1 species